rnacentral:misc_RNA from 1 species
GAUGAAGAACGCAGCGAAAUGCGAUAAGUAGUGUGAAUUGCAGAAUUCAGUGAAUCAUCGAAUCUUUGAACGCACAUUGCGCCUCCUGGUAUUCCGGGAGGCAUGCCUGUUCGAGCGUCAUUAAAAUCACUCAAGCUUAGGUUUACCUAUUGCUUGGUCUUGGAGAUGGAAGCCAAUUUAUUGGAAUCCUCUUCGAAAUUCAAUGGCGAAGACCCUUGCUCUCCCAAGUGUAGUAAUAACUUAUGUCACCGAAGGAAGCGAGAAAUCUUCUGCCGUAACCCCCAUAUUUUCUAUGAUUGACCUCGGAUCAGGUAGGGAUACCCGCUGAACUUAAGCAUAUCAAUAAGCGGAGGA